GAUGAACGCUGGCGGCGUGCCUAACACAUGCAAGUCGAGCGAACAGACGAGGAGUUUUCUCCUUCGACGUUAGCGGCGGACGGGUGAUUAACACGUAGGUAACCUACCUAUAAGACUCGGAUAAUUUCGGGAAAUCGGCCCUAAUACCGGAUAAUAUUUCGAACCGCAUGGUUCGAUAGUGAAAGAUGGUUUUGCUAUCACUUAUUGAUGGACCUGCGCCGUAUUAGCUAGUUGGUAAGGUAACGGCUUACCAAGGCAGCGAUACGUAGCCGACCUGAGAGGGGGAUAGGCCACACUGGAACGGGGACACGGUCCAGACUACUGCGGGAGGCAGCAGUAGGGAACCUCUCGCAGUGGGAGAAAGCCUGACGGAGGAGCACCGCGUGAGAGAUUGAGGUCGUCGGAUCGUGAAACUCUGUUAUGAGGGAAGAACGAACGUGUAAGUAACUGUGGACGACUUGACGGUACCUAAUCAAAAAGCCACGGCUAACUACGUU
rnacentral:rRNA from 1 species